UGGCUGCAGUGGGGAAUUUUGGACAAUGGGCGAAAGCCUGAUCCAGCAAUACCGCGUGCAGGAAGAAGGCCUUCGGGUUGUAAACUGCUUUUGUACGGAACGAAACGGUCUGGAUUAAUACUCUGGGCUAAUGACGGUACCGUAAGAAUAAGCACCGGCUAACUACGUGCCAGCAGCCGCGGUAAUACGUAGGGUGCAAGCGUUAAUCGGAAUUACUGGGCGUAAAGCGUGCGCAGGCGGUUUUGUAAGACAGGCGUGAAAUCCCCGGGCUCAACCUGGGAAUUGCGCUUGUGACUGCAAGGCUAGAGUACGGUAGAGGGGGGUAGAAUUCCGCGUGUAGCAGUGAAAUGCGUAGAUAUGCGGAGGAACACCGAUGGCGAAGGCAGCCCUCUGGACCUGUACUGACGCUCAUGCACGAAAGCGUGGGGAGCAAACAGGAUUAGAUACCCUAGUAGUC
rnacentral:rRNA from 1 species